UCCGGGACAUUUCUAUUUGGACAUAAAAAAUUUGAAUUUUCUGACAUUUAUACGUAUAUUCAGCGUCUAUGUGAACAAAAAAUGUUCUCUCUCUCAUUCUAUGGUCCUUGAGCUUUAAUAACAGGGACAUUUUUGAAAUUGGUAGGAUUAGAAAAUGACAGUAAACAGCUGACUGAUGUAAACAAUAACAAAGGAAAUGUUAUAAUUUUAAUCUAUAUAACCCGUGGCUGCUUUAAAAGUGUGUACUAACGGGAUAAUAAAAUAUUUACGCAAGUAUUUUUGAAGGUAGAAACAUUACUUGUCAUAUAACAAUUAUACAGUCCGGGACAUUUCUAUUUGGACAUAAAAAAUUUGAAUUUUCUGACAUUUAUACGUGUAUUCAGCGUCUGUGUGAACAAAAAAUGUUCUCUCUCUCAUUCUAUGGUCCUUGAGCUUUAAUAACAGGGACAUUUUUUAAAUUGGUAGCAUUAGAAAAUGACAGUAAACAGCUGACUGAUGUAAACAAUAACACAAUAACAAAGGAAAUGUUAUAAUUUUAAUCUAUAUAACCAGUGGCUGCUUUAAAAGUGUGUACUAACGGGAUAAUAACAUAUUUACGCAAGUAUUUUUGAAGGUAGAAACAUUACUUGUCAUAUAACAACUACUCAGAUUAUAUGAUGAGACGGGAAUGGCACAAUACAGAAUUGCAGUCAGUGAUUGUGAUGGAGAAAGCUGCUGUGAAGUACUGACAGUACUGACUAUCGCUGGUUGUACGAUUUGUGCAAUUUGUGAUAUAUUUUGUGUGAAAAACUGGAAAAGAAAGUGCAUCACUGCAUAACCUCACUUAUCGCAGUUUUGCACAUUUUGAUGAUGGGAAUUGCGGUUCAAGUAAUUAUGAGUUAUAGAUGGAGAGCCCUGUUUACUUCAAACUGAAGCCUUUUGGGUCCACUUUGUUCCUGGCAGCCACUCUUGUUUCAAGCAGAGUGGGUGUAAAGUUAAAAAUAAUCCCGUAAAAUUGUUAAUAUAACUCCUUUGCACUGGCAUGGGGUAUUUGAAAACUUACGUUUAACAAAUACGUCACAAAGUCUCAGCCAUCGUCGAAAAACAUAAUAAGGGCUUUAUAACAAGAAGCGCUUUCUGAUUUUACUGUGGACGUGUGGAAGAAUAGUGUGAAAUAUUGCGAAAAACCAACUUUUACUCUUGUUUACAUUUUUGUACGUCUCUAUCUGAGAGUAGUCUCUUGUAUAAAAAAUAUAGCCUACUAAUAAAGGAAAUUAAAGUGU